rnacentral:rRNA from 1 species
GACGAACGCUGGCGGGCGUGCCUAAUACAUGCAAGUAGAACGUGAAGAGAGGGAGCUUGCUCUUCUUGGAUGAGUUGCGAACGGGUGAGUAACGCGUAGGUAACCUGCCUGGUAGCGGGGGAUAACUAUUGGAAACGAUAGCUAAUACCGCAUAAAAUUGAUUAUUGCAUGAUAAUUAAUUGAAAGAUGCAAUUGCAUCACUACCAGAUGGACCUGCGUUGUAUUAGGCUAGUUGGUGAGGUAACGGCUCACCAAGGCGACGAUACAUAGCCGACCUGAGAGGGUGAUCGGCCACACUGGGGACUGAGACAACGGCCCAGACUCCUACGGGAGGCAGCAGUAGGGGAAUCUUCGGCAAUUGGGGGGGAAACCCUGACCGAGCAACGCCGCGUGAGG